rnacentral:rRNA from 1 species
UACGGGGGGGCAAGCGUUGUUCGGAAUUACUGGGCGUAAAGGGCUCGUAGGCGGCCAACUAAGUCAGACGUGAAAUCCCUCGGCUUAACCGGGGAACUGCAUCUGAUACUGGAUGGCUUGAGUUCGGGAGAGGGAUGCGGAAUUCCAGGUGUAGCGGUGAAAUGCGUAGAUAUCUGGAGGAACACCGGUGGCGAAGGCGGCAAUC